rnacentral:tRNA from 1 species
GCCCAAUUAGCUCAGUUGGUAGAGCACCGGAUUUAUGUUCCGUUAACGCCAGAUAAGCGGGUUGUCUCAGGUUCGAAUCCUGAAUUGGGUACCA